rnacentral:rRNA from 1 species
GACGGGCCCGCACAAGCAGCGGAGCGUGUGGUUUAAUUCGUUGACUACACGAAGAACCUUACCUGGGUUGACAUAAUGGUGGUAGGGAUCCGAAAGGUGACCGACCUUCGGGGAGCCAUUACAGGUGUUGCAUGGCUGUCGUCAGCUCGUGUCGUGAGAUGUUCGGUUAAGUCCGCUAACGAGCGCAACCCUCGCUGUGUGUUAUAUGUGUCACACAGGACUGCUGGUAUUAAGCCGGAGGAAGUGGGGACGACGUCAAGUCAGCAUGACCUUUAUAUCCAGGGCUACACACACGCUACAAUGGUCAGUACAAUGGGUUGCCAAGCCGCGAGGCGGAGCCAAUCCUAAAAAGCUGGCCUCAGUUCAGAUUGCAGUCUGAAACUCGACUGCAUGAAGUCGGAGUUGCUAGUAAACGCAGGUCGGCUAUACUGCGUUGAAUACGUUCCCGGGGCUU